UACGAGGGGGGCAAGCGUUGUUCGGAAUUAUUGGGCGUAAAGGGCGCGUAGGCGGUGCGGUAAGUCUGAUGUGAAAUCUCCGGGCUCAACUCGGAGUCUGCAUCAGAAACUGCCGUGCUCGAGUGUGGGAGAGGUGAGUGGAAUUCCCGGUGUAGCGGUGAAAUGCGUAGAGAUUAGGAAGAACACCAGUGGCGAAGGCGACUUACUGGACUGUAACUGACGCUGAGGCAUGAAAGCGUGGGGAGCAAACAGG
rnacentral:rRNA from 1 species